rnacentral:rRNA from 1 species
CCUACGGGGGACAGCAGUAGGGAAUAUUGCUCAAUGGGGGAAACCCUGAAGCAGCAACGCCGCGUGGAGGAUGAAGGCUUUCGGAUUGUAAACUCCUUUUGUUAGAGAAGAUAAUGACGGUAUCCAACGAAUAAGCACCGGCUAACUCCGUGCCAGCACCCGCGGUACAACGGGGGGUGUAAGGGUUACUCGGAAUCACUGGGCGUAAAGAGCGCGUAGGCGGGAUAGCAAGUCAGAUGUGAAAACCUAUGGUUUAACCAUAGAACUGCAUUUGAAACUGUUAUUCUAGAGUAUGGGAGAGGUAGGUGGAAUGCGUGGUGUAGGGGUAAAAUGCGUAGAUAUCAAGAGGAAUACCCAUUGCGAAGGC